GACUUAACUCGACAGUCCAUCAGCGCGAAACAUUUUGACAGACCUAAUCACAAUAUGAAUCAACAACUGCACAUUUUUUUCUUAGAGGAGCAUUGAUAUUGAUAUUAAUUGAGCAAUUAUUUAAUGACGAGUGUGUGAAGAGAGAUUCCAAGUGGUUUUUGUUGGUGAAUAUGGGCAUGGCUAGACUAUCGUUUUCCACGCGUGCAAGGACUCGAGUCUCAUAGACAUUGGAGGCACUUAUUUCACCUGAGACACGGACAGUAGACGUUGACAGAGUGAAUGUGGAGGUAGGCCUAUAACUAAUAGACCGUGUGGGCUGGGUUUCUGUGAACUGGCAUAAUGCACCGGGUGACAUAGGUGUAUGAGGAAUUUGUGACUGUUGUUGAGUGUGUGGUAGUUGUUCAAGGAAUGUGUAUUUUUGUGUCCGGUCACAUACACCUGGACAUUAUCAGGGACAUUACAAUCUGUAAUUUUUUGUACAAGAGCUUUGCAGAUGCUAGUGUUCUUCAAUCGAGGCGAGUCUUGCAUCAGCCACAUGGACAUUUCCAGAACGAAGCGAGACAACGUCAUACCAAUCGAGCGUCCUAUGGUCUUUCCGGCAAGCCGAUACGAUGCGAUUGGUUUACAAUAUGAUCAGCAUAAAAUAUGUGGCAUGUAAAUAACCAACCAGGGCAAACUCAUACCAAAAUGGAGGAAACACGAGAGUAUGACAAAAUAGGUGUCAGAGAUACGGACGACUAUCAAGAGCUGUCGCCCACUGUCACUGACCAAUCUCCUCAAGACAGAGCUUCCGCUUAUAUCAACUUAUGGUGAUAAGGAUAACAUUUUUCGUCCAAAUAAUUUGUAUCUUGUUUUGAGAUACGGUAGGGACCACCUGUUACCUAAUUGACAAUAAUAUCAAGUUUUUUUAUGGUUUGAUAGAAUAAAGGCAUGAAGUGUUAUCCGGAAAUAAAUAUAUUUUAUCGACACUGAAA